GAGAAUUCAGUAAAUCCACAAAUAAUUAAUACGAGAUUAGCAGUACCGCGAUUUAAGAUAAUCUUUGGGAAACGCAUACAAGUGAGAAGCUGCAGAAAAUACUGUAAACAUCUCAUGAAUAUAAUUCUGAAUGAAUCCGCUGGUUGUUUCCUCUCAUGAUUCAAUUCUUUCACAAUUUUUCCACGGUUGUGUUUCAAAAACAGUAAACUUUUCAAUAAGAUUUUCGAUCCUUUCAGAUCAAACGAGUGCGACAACGGGCCGUGGUUGGAGGCAACAAAUAAGAAGCUGCUGACCUUUUCCUUCCAGUCCAAUCCUUUCAUUUGAUGGCUAUGCAUAGUGGUGCGAAACGUCAGCUUUCCUGGAUUGUUCAACACUAGAGUACAUCUGUGUCCUGUUAAUACUACACCACAGAGAUUAUUCAACACGAAAAGUGUAUCUCCUGAUGUACGAAUCCCCGAGAUAGUAAAGUGUGAGAAAUAAAACCGUAUCGGUGAAAGUAGCCUUGGACCACUUGUUUGGGAUUUGGAGUAUGAUAAAAAAAAUUAAGCCUGACGACGGAUGACAAAAGCUAUAUUUUUCCCACGGGUCAAGAAAACGAUUCAGAAAUGGAAAAGCUCGUGCUCCUUGCUGACAAGGAAUGGAAAAAAAAACUCAACAUUCUAAUUCAUUUUACUCCGAACGAGUCGAUUCUGUAUUGGCUACAAUAAUAGUCCGGCUGAUGGGAACAGCUGAUAGGGAACAGGCAGUAAGCAUGAUGGCGUUAUGGUUACGAAGUUUAGUCAAUGUAACUGCUGCUCAAUCAAAGCGAUCGAGAAAUUAUCAAGCAGAAUGUGAUCCAGAAAGAGAGCGACUCAGAGUCACAUAAAUAACCUGGAGAUUCCAGUACUUUGAGCAGUAGGAUAAAGGAUUAUCUUUGAUAACUCUUCUGCUUCUACUGCAAUCCAUACGUGAGGAGCAAAGCAAGCGGACCAGUAACGAAAUCUAGAAACUCCCAAUAGCUGCCAACGAAGCCAAUGGUGAUGAAACGGGGCCGGCGGAGGAGAUCAAAUCCCAAGUUGGGGCUCAGCGCUCUUGUGAUCGAAUUUGGCCCUCUAUCGAAAUCGAGUACUUUUGUUCCUUUGAAGUGGUGUAUGACAUAUGCUGAUGCCAGUAGUCGUGAGUAUGUGCACGAUAGAGGAAGGCCUGUCCUGGUGCUGCUACUAAACUGCUUAUCAAACUUGUUCUAUGCACAAAAUUGAAAGCCAACUUUAUCCGGAAGAAUAAUGGAAUUCUGGUGGUGAAAUAUGGACAAUCUCAGGACAAUCAAUAUUUAACUUUCUAUAUAAGUUAUAUCAACGCUGAGUUUGGCCUAAAAUGCACCCCGUGAGGUACCGUGAGAGAAAAAGCAGAGCGACUUAAUAUCUAAAGGUUUAAACAUCUGUAUUCUUUUCAAUCCUA